AUACGUAGGGGGCGAGCGUUGUCCGGAAUGAUUGGGCGUAAAGGGCGCGUAGGCGGCCCGGUAAGUCUGGAGUGAAAGUCCUGUUUUCAAGGUGGGAAUUGCUUUGGAUACUGAUGGGCUUGAGUGCAGGAGAGGUUAUCGGAAUUCCCGGUGUAGCGGUGAAAUGCGUAGAGAUCGGGAGGAACACCAGUGGCGAAGGCGGGUAACUGGACUGCAACUGACGCUGAGGCGCGAAAGUGUGGGGAGCAAACAGGAUUAGAUACCCUGGUAGUCCACACUGUAAACGAUGAAUGCUAGGUGUAAGAGGUAUCGACCCCUUUUGUGCCGGAGUUAACACAAUAAGCAUUCCGCCUGGGGAGUACGGCCGCAAGGUUGAAACUCAAAUGAAUUGACGGGG
rnacentral:rRNA from 1 species